rnacentral:lncRNA from 1 species
CUUGUAGGAAUAAUGUCAUCAGUAUGUGGACCUUAAAUGAGAUGAUGUACCCACAUCAUCUCACACUGCCUGGCAUAGAGGGGGCAUGUGAGAAACAUUCUGUCCCUCCUAAAUGUGGGUAUCAAGUGUAUGAAGGACAAAAGUUGAUCUAACUGCCCUCGGAUGUGGCUCGGUGGGAGGACUCUUGACCAGCAGACUGCCAGGUUUCUAUUAUUUAAACACAUGGACAAUAAGUCCCAUGCUAUGCAGAGAAAAUUUAGCCUUAAGUGAGCCCACAAUUUGCUAGAGGUUUUAAAUCACCAGCUGCUGCCUUUGAGUUUAAUCAUCUCGUCCUGGAAACCCCAAAGCAGGAAAAGAAGCUGUCACCCUGAGGGAAAUGCCACUCUGUGGCAGCAGAUCACUUAGAAGGACAUAGCUUUCACUCAAUGUUUCAGGUCUGCUACCAUUCUCUGAUGAAAGUUGGGGGCUCAGACAGAAGCCGGUUCUGAAGAGGGCAAAGAAAACUAUAUGGGCUAUGGUUUGAGAAGAGGAGAAAAGCCCAAGGCAGGGAUUCCUUGCCUAGGAAAGGAAGAGGACUGAAGU